rnacentral:rRNA from 1 species
ACGAACGCUGGCGGCACGCUUAACACAUGCAAGUCGAACGAGAGAAGAGGAGCUUGCUUUUCUGAUCUAGUGGCGGACGGGUGAGUAACACGUGAGCAAUCUGCCUUUCAGAGGGGGAUACCGAUUGGAAACGAUCGUUAAUACCGCAUAACAUAAUUGAACCGCAUGAUUUGAUUAUCAAAGAUUUAUCGCUGAAAGAUGAGCUCGCGUCUGAUUAGCUAGUUGGUAAGGUAACGGCUUACCAAGGCGACGAUCAGUAGCCGGACUGAGAGGUUGAUCGGCCACAUUGGGACUGAGACACGGCCCAGACUCCUACGGGAGGCAGCAGUGGGGAAUAUUGCACAAUGGAGGAAACUCUGAUGCAGCGAUGCCGCGUGAGGGAAGAAGGUUUUAGGAUUGUAAACCUCUGUCUUCAGGGAAGAAAAAAGACGGUACCUGAGGAGGAAGCUCCGGCUAACUACGUGCCAGCAGCCGCGGUAAUACGUAGGGAGCGAGCGUUGUCCGGAAUUACUGGGUGUAAAGGGAGCGUAGGCGGGAUCGCAAGUCAGAUGUGAAAACUAUGGGCUUAACCCAUAAACUGCAUUUGAAACUGUGGUUCUUGAGUGAAGUAGAGGUAAGCGGAAUUCCUAGUGUAGCGGUGAAAUGCGUAGAUAUUAGGAGGAACAUCAGUGGCGAAGGCGGCUUACUGGGCUUUAACUGACGCUGAGGCUCGAAAGCGUGGGGAGCAAACAGGAUUAGAUACCCUGGUAGUCCACGCCGUAAACGAUGAUUACUAGGUGUGGGGGGACUGACCCCUUCCGUGCCGCAGCAAACGCAAUAAGUAAUCCACCUGGGGAGUACGACCGCAAGGUUGAAACUCAAAGGAAUUGACGGGGGCCCGCACAAGCAGUGGAGUAUGUGGAUUAAUUCGAAGCAACGCGAAGAACCUUACCAGGUCUUGACAUCGUAUGCAUAGCUCAGAGAUGAGUGAAAUCUCUUCGGAGACAUAUAGACAGGUGGUGCAUGGUUGUCGUCAGCUCGUGUCGUGAGAUGUUGGGUUAAGUCCCGCAACGAGCGCAACCCUUACUGUUAGUUGCUACGCAAGAGCACUCUAGCAGGACUGCCGUUGACAAAACGGAGGAAGGUGGGGAUGACGUCAAAUCAUCAUGCCCCUUAUGACCUGGGCCUCACACGUACUACAAUGGCUGUCAACAGAGGGAAGCAAAGCCGCGAGGUGGAGCGAACCCCUAAAAGCAGUCUUAGUUCGGAUUGUAGGCUGCAACCCGCCUACAUGAAGUCGGAAUUGCUAGUAAUCGCAGAUCAGCAUGCUGCGGUGAAUACGUUCCCGGGCCUUGUACACACCGCCCGUCACGCCAUGGGAGUCGGUAACACCCGAAGCCUGUAGUCUAACCGCAAGGAGGACGCAGUCGAAGGUGGGAUUGAUGACUGGGGUG